rnacentral:rRNA from 1 species
GAUGAACGCUGGCGGCGUGCCUAAUACAUGCAAGUCGAGCGAACAGACGAGAGUGCUUGCACUCUCUGACGUUAGCGGCGGACGGGUGAGUAACACGUGGGUAACCUACCUAUGAGACUGGGAUAACUUCGGGAAACCGGAGCUCAUACCGGAUAAUAUUUAGCUUCGCAUGACGCAAUAGUGAAAGACGGUUCUGCUGUCACUUAUAGAUGGACCCGCGGUGUAUUAGCUAGUUGGUGAGGUAACGGCUCACCAAGGCAACGAUCCAUAGCCGACCUGAGAGGAUGAUCGGCCACACUGGAACUGAGACACGGCCCAGACUCCUACGGGAGGCAGCAGUAGGGAAUCUUCCGCAAUGGACGAAAGUCUGACGGAGCAAUGCCGCGUGAGUGAAGAAGGUUUUCGGAUCGUAAAACUCUGUUGUAAGGGAAGAACAAGUACGUGAGUAACUGAACGUACCUUGACGGUACCUUACCAGAAAGCCACGGCUAACUACGUG